rnacentral:rRNA from 1 species
GACGAACGCGGCGGCGUGCUUAACACAUGCAAGUCACGGGGGCCCGCAAGGGCAACCGGCGAACGGGUGCGUAACACGUGAGCAACCUGCCGAUCUGUGGGGGAUAGCCGGGCUAACGCCCGGGUAAUACCGCAUACGGUUCCCGCGAGGAGUCUCGUGGGAAAGAAACCUCCGGGGCAGAUCGAGGGGCUCGCGGCCUAUCAGCUAGUUGGGGGGGUAAUGGCCCACCAAGGCGACGACGGGUAGCUGGUCUGAGAGGAUGGCCAGCCACAUUGGGACUGAGAGACGGCCCAGACUCCUACGGGAGGCAGCAGUGGGGAAUCUUGCGCAAUGGCCGCAAGGCUGACGCAGCGACGCCGCGUGUGGGAGGACGCCUUUCGGGGUGUAAACCACUGUUGCCCGGGACGAACAUCGAGUUUCGACUCGACUGACGGUACCGGGUGAGGAAGCACCGGCUAACUCCGUGCCAGCAGCCGCGGUAAUACGGAGGGUGCGAGCGUUGUCCGGAAUCAUUGGGCGUAAAGGGCGCGUAGGUGGCGGGAUAAGCGUGCGGUGAAAGCCUGGGGCUCAACCCCGGGUCGGCCGUGCGAACUGUUUUGCUUGAGCACUGUAGAGGCAGGCGGAAUUCCGGGUGUAGCGGUGGAAUGCGUAGAGAUCCGGAAGAACACCGGUGGCGAAGGCGGCCUGCUGGGCAGUAGCUGACACUGAGGCGCGACAGCGUGGGGAGCAAACAGGAUUAGAUACCCUGGUAGUCCACGCCGUAAACGAUGGGCACUAGGCGCUUGGGGGAGCGACCCCCCGAGGGCCGGCGCUAACGCAUUAAGUGCCCCGCCUGGGGAGUACGACCGCAAGGUUG